GACGAACGCUGGCGGCGUGCUUAACACAUGCAAGUCGAACGGAAAGGCCCUGCUUUUGUGGGGUGCUCGAGUGGCGAACGGGUGAGUAACACGUGAGUAACCUGCCCUUGACUUUGGGAUAACUUCAGGAAACUGGGGCUAAUACCGGAUAGGAGCUCCUGCUGCAUGGUGGGGGUUGGAAAGUUUCGGCGGUUGGGGAUGGACUCGCGGCUUAUCAGCUCGUUGGUGGGGUAGUGGCUUACCAAGGCCUUGACGGGUAGCCGGCCUGAGAGGGUGACCGGCCACAUUGGGACUGAGAUACGGCCCAGAGUCCUACGGGAGGCAGCAGUGGGGAAUAUUGCACAAUGGGAGGAAGCCUGAUGCAGCAACGCCGCGUGCGGGAUGACGGCCUUCGGGUUGUAAACCGCUUUCGCCUGUGACGAAGCGUGAGUGACGGUAAUGGGUAAAGAAGCACCGGCUAACUACGUG
rnacentral:rRNA from 1 species